GCACCUGAAUUAUAUGAACUUUUCUUUCUCAUGAAUUAAAAGUAUAAUUUCUUCUUCUGACUUAGAUUACACAUCCACAUGUCCCUUAAAUCUGUGCAGUUUUAGUCUUCUAAUUAAAGAUAAUGCCACAUAGGUCAUUAUUUUCAUAAUCAUUGUUCCUGAUAUUCUUACAUAUUACCAAUUCCCAUCUUUCCAAAGGAGACAAGAUUGAUGUCAGUAACCUGGACAAUGUGCUAAGGGAAAUGGGGCUGGUACUCACUGCUGAAGAACACAAGGAACUGCUGAAGUCUAUGUCCCUUUACCCUAGUGGGAAGGUACCCAAGAAUAGAUUGCUAAAAGGUGUGAAAGCCCUCAAAGGCCCACGGGUCAAAGUCAAGAAAGUUGAGUCUCUUUUGGAAAGCAUGGGAAUUCAAAUCACAAAUAAAGAACACAAGGAAUUAAUGACCCAACUAUCGACUGAUGGUGAGUAUUACAGACAUCACUAUUCUCUAGAGGAGUGUUGAACAAUUAGAAUUGCUCAAGCCAUUUUGUUCAUAGUGACAUAAUGUAAAUUAGGAAGACUGAAUACUAACUUACGAAGAAAUCCCAUCUUCAAAACA
rnacentral:lncRNA from 1 species